ensembl:snRNA U4 U4 spliceosomal RNA
AACUUUGCACAGUGGCAGUAUCAUAGCCAAUGAGGUUUAUUCGAGGUGCGAUAAGUGCUAAUUAAAAACAUAUUCAUAUGUAUUUGCCCAUUUUUCUAUGGUCCUAUCUGCCGGGAU